rnacentral:rRNA from 1 species
AGGGUGCAAGCGUUGUCCGGAAUCACUGGGCGUAAAGGGCGCGUAGGCGGCCUGGUAAGUAGGGGGUGAAAUCCUGCGGCUUAACCGCAGGGCUGCCUUCUAAACUGUCAGGCUUGAGCACGGUAGAGGCAGAUGGAAUUCCCGGUGUAGCGGUGGAAUGCGUAGAGAUCGGGAAGAACAUCAGUGGCGAAGGCGGUCUGCUGGGCCGUUGCUGACGCUGAGGCGCGACAGCGUGGGGAGCAAACAGG